GACGAACGCUGGCGGCGUGCUUAACACAUGCAAGUCGAACGAAGCUUGAUUACGGAUUCUUCGGAUGAAGUAUGAUAUGACUGAGUGGCGGACGGGUGAGUAACGCGUGAGUAACCUGCCCUUCAGAGGGGGAUAGCGUUUGGAAACGAACGGUAAUACCGCAUAAUGUAUUUUGACCGCAUGAUCGAAAUACCAAAGAUUUAUCGCUGAAGGAUGGACUCGCGUCUGAUUAGGUAGUUGGUGGGGUAACGGCCUACCAAGCCGACGAUCAGUAGCCGGACUGAGAGGUCGAUCGGCCACAUUGGGACUGAGACACGGCCCAGACUCCUACGGGAGGCAGCAGUGGGGAAUAUUGCACAAUGGGCGCAAGCCUGAUGCAGCAACGCCGCGUGAAGGAAGACGGUUUUCGGAUUGUAAACUUCUGUUCUUAGUGAAGAAUAAUGACGGUAGCUAAGGAGCAAGCCACGGCUAACUACGUG
rnacentral:rRNA from 1 species